AGUCAGUGAACGCACCGCAGUAGUGUGCAGUUUCGUCAGUUGAAACGUUCCUUGACGCAGUUUCGGCAUUUAUACCUUUCAGAUAUACUUCAUACUUGUUUGGCUAAGUUACUGCUACGCGUGAAUGCAUAAAGUACACGAUGACACCACUGGCUGGUGACACCAUCUGCACCUCCUUGAAAACUGCCACGUGGUCCGGUUUCUGGAGGGCAGGGAUUCUUCAGAAUGUUGCACGACAUGUUGGAAUCCUGAUGAACCGCAGCUCCCUUGUGACGUGUAUCACCUGGUGACACAAUAAAAACAAAACAGCUGUAAAGCGGCUCCCCCCACGCACAAAGACGAGGCGAUCCCACCAUGCCAUCCGCACACGCUGACUCACCUUUCAGACACACGCGAUAGAUACCAUGUGAGUACCUAAAGAAGUUGUACAGUACAUGACAUCACACACCGAGAGACAUUAGACACGUGGAAAUGAUCAUCUGUUUAUCCAACUCAUGAGCGUUUCUCGAAAACCCAGACAAAAACGAAACCAACAAAUUGAACGGAAAAAGGAAAUGAAAUAUUUAAUAGAACUGUUUCGCUUUAUGGUGAAUAAAAUGUAUCGCAAAUAACUUGAGAAUGUCAGCUAUUUGAUUUGGUGUUCCCCUUGUUUUCCCGUGUUACUAAUAUCCGGCGAGUCCCGCCUCUCACCUUGACACACCUUGAAUAUCUGUCAUAUCUAUUUGCUUACCUCUCCCACCAUUGCUUGUCUGCAUUCCUUUGGAAACAUUGUUGCACACGUUCGUGGUUGAUACCUAUAGUUUUCAUUGCAUGGGAACGCUAUGUUUCGUUUGUAACCAAUGGCAACAGAAGAUUAACGCACAAGUAAAGUAAAGUAGCAGUGGGCUGAACCAUUUAAAUGUUGACUGAGUGAUCAAACAUGCUGGUAUAGUUUG